UGUGUUCAUGAUCACGGUGACAAUGCUGCCGUGGAGUUGAUGAUCGCAGGGUGCCGGUACUGCUGUGGAGCUGAUGAUUAUUUUCUACUGUAUCUUCAAUUUCUCGAUUUAUCACUUCCUGUUCUUUGAUUCGACUUGGGGAAAAGGAGACGACAAAGAGAGAAAUCGAAGAUCUGAAGACUGAAAUCAUGGAGUACGUUCAUUCAGGUGCUUAUGGCAUUCCUUACAGGAUAGGCUAAGUAAGGGUGGCUCAAUCAAGAGCCGAGAUGAAAUAUAUUUGAAGCUUCACACAAGCAUAGGUUCGUUCAUGAAUGACAGGCUUCUCUACCAGAGGGAUGAGGAUACAAAAGUGAGAUGAGGGUCAUUAGGGUGAACACAAUUUUUGGUUGAGUGACAUUUCCAUGCCAACAUUACGUAACGUAAAUACUCAAACCCAUGAAUGUAUUUCUUUGUUUGGGUAGAAAAAAGGGUGGGGUUACGUAUAUGGGGUUCAUGUAGUUCAGUAGAAGAGCCGAAGCCGAGUCUCUAACAGCAACAAAUCCUUCUUCUUCUGCCUGAAUCUUGCCAAGGUGUUGUUGCACAUCAAAUAAUAAAAGUGUAGAGCAUGGAUGUGUGUUCGUUGAUACUCACGCAUACGUUGGUCCUCCCGUGUUCGUCAGUCCUCCUGCGUUCGUAGUUCUCCCAUUUUCUUCGUCA